GGAUUCAGACAUAGUUAAACAUAGUUGCUCAUUUGCUCCAUGUCAGUAAUGCUGUUCUUGUUUCGUCUGUGGCUUAUCUGCCUCUUAACAGAUGAUGCCUCUAGUGAGGGAAUAGCACCAGUCUCUCCGAAUGCAUUUGUCUCAGAAGGGAACACCAUCACCCUGUCCUGCGAUUACAACGGAUCAGCUGCUACAGAUGCUCUCCACUGGUAUCGUCAGUACCCGAGAUCCAGACCAGACUUCCUGUUUCUAGUUAAUGAAGCUGCAUUUAGACAACAAGCUGAUCCUCCAAUUCCUGGAAUAUCUGCUAGAUUAAAUGAGGAGAAAAAUCGUGUGGAUCUGGAGAUCGGUGGCACUGCAUUAACUGAUUCUGCUCUGUACUACUGUGCCCUGCAGCCCACAGUGACAGGAAACACACAUACACUGUACAAAAAUCAGACACAUUAAAAUAGAAUUCAGUGUCUGUGCUCGGGGGGUGAUUAUAAAUGCUUAUAUUUGAACAUUUUGGUCCAGAAUUGUGUGCCAAUGA